GGAAUUACCCCUCCUCCAGUGCAAUGUCAUCAUAGACUGUCCAUGACAGAUGAUAGCAAAAAGCAGGAUCUUAGUUCAUCUUUAACAGAUGACUCUAAAAAUGCACAAGCACCUCUCGCAUUAACUGAAUCACAUUUGGCUACCCUUGCUUCCUCUUCUCAAUCUCCUGAAGCUAUUAAACAAUUACUAGACUCAGGUUUGCCUUCUCUUCUUGUGAGGAGUCUGGCUAGUUUCUGCUUUAGCCACAUUUCUAGCUCAGAAAGCAUUGCCCAGUCAAUAGAUAUUUCCCAGGACAAACUCAGGCGCCAUCAUGUCCCACAACAAUGUAAUAAGAUGCCUAUCACAGCCGACCUAGUUGCUCCUAUUCUUAGGUUUUUGACAGAAGUUGGCAAUAGCCAUAUUAUGAAAGAUUGGCUUGGUGGUUCUGAAGUCAAUCCACUAUGGACAGCACUUCUGUUUUUAUUGUGUCACUCUGGGUCCACUUCUGGAAGCCAUAAUUUAGGUGCACAACAGACCAGUGCAAGAUCAGCUUCUCUUUCUUCAGCUGCUACAACAGGACUGACUACUCAACAGCGCACAGCAAUUGAGAAUGCAACUGUUGCGUUCUUUCUACAGUGCAUUUCAUGCCAUCCUAAUAAUCAAAAGCUGAUGGCACAGGUUCUUUGUGAACUAUUUCAGACAUCUCCUCAAAGAGGGAACCUUCCAACAUCUGGGAACAUUUCAGGGUUUAUACGAAGAUUAUUUUUACAGUUGAUGCUGGAAGAUGAGAAAGUGACAAUGUUUCUUCAGUCUCCAUGUCCACUGUACAAAGGUAGAAUUAAUGCUACUAGCCACGUCAUCCAGCAUCCAAUGUAUGGAGCAGGCCACAAAUUCCGUACUCUUCAUUUGCCAGUCUCAACAACAUUAUCAGAUGUUCUUGACAGAGUGUCAGAUACUCCAAGUAUCACAGCUAAAUUAAUUAGUGAACAAAAAGAUGACAAAGAAAAGAAAAACC
rnacentral:lncRNA from 1 species